rnacentral:rRNA from 1 species
GUGCCAGCCGCCGCGGUAACACGGGGGUUGCGAGCGUUGUCCGGAAUUACUGGGCGUAAAGAGCACGUAGGCGGGUAUUUAAGUCAGUUGUGAAAGACCGCAGCUUAACUGCGGGGUUGCAAAUGAAACUGGGUAUCUUGAGGGCAGGAGAGGUUAGUGGAAUUCCUGGUGUAGCGGUGAAAUGCGUAGAAAUCAGGAGGAACACCAGUGGCGAAGGCGGCUGACUGGACUGACCCUGACGCUGAGGUGCGAAAGCGUGGGUAGCAAACAGGAUUAGAUACCCUGGUAGUCCACGCUGUAAACGAUGGAUACUAGGUGUGGGAGGUAUCGACCCCUUCCGUGCCGGAGCUAACGCAAUAAGUAUCCCGCCUGGGGAGUACGGUCGCAAGGCUGAAACUCAAAUAAAUUGACGG